GAUGAACGCUGGCGGCGUGCCUAAUACAUGCAAGUCGAGCGAACAGACGAGGAGCUUGCUCCUCUGACGUUAGCGGCGGACGGGUGAGUAACACGUGGAUAACCUACCUAUAAGACUGGGAUAACUUCGGGAAACCGGAGCUAAUACCGGAUAAUAUAUUGAACCGCAUGGUUCAAUAGUGAAAGACGGUUUUGCUGUCACUUAUAGAUGGAUCCGCGCCGCAUUAGCUAGUUGGUAAGGUAACGGCUUACCAAGGCAACGAUGCGUAGCCGACCUGAGAGGGUGAUCGGCCACACUGGAACUGAGACACGGUCCAGACUCCUACGGGAGGCAGCAGUAGGGAAUCUUCCGCAAAGGGCGAAAGCCUUACGGAGCAACGCCGCGUGAGUGAUGAAGGUCUUCGGAUCGUAUAACUCUGUUAUUAGGGAAGAACAAAUGUGUACGUAACUAUGCACGUCUUGACGGUACCUAAUCAGAAAGCCACGGCUAACUACGUG
rnacentral:rRNA from 1 species